GAAAUGCGAUACGUAGUGUGAAUUGCAGAAUUCCGUGAACCAUCGAAUCUUUGAACGCACAUUGCGCUCGAGGCUUCGGCCGAGAGCAUGUCUGCCUCAGCGUCGGCCCAUCCCCUCACAACCCCCCUUCAGCUUUUAAAUGUAAGCUUGAAGGGCCGGCUGUGGAGCUGGCCGUGUCGGCUGCUGCCCUCCCCUCCAAGGGAGGGGUUUGCGGCCGAGUCGGCUGAAGCCCAGAGGCCUGAGCAAGAGCCCAUUCAACCGGGCAUCAACAUGGUGGGUGGCCCCUUGGGGCUGCAUUGCCGUUGAUGACCGGGGGACUUGCUGGGGGCCUGCAGGAACACCGGCCCUUUCAACUGCCGGUGCCGACCAUCCUUUCGACCUGAGAUCAGGCAAGAACACC
rnacentral:misc_RNA from 1 species